AACGAACGCUGGCGGCAUGCCUAACACAUGCAAGUCGAACGAGACCUUCGGGUCUAGUGGCGCACGGGUGCGUAACGCGUGGGAACCUGCCCUUAGGUUCGGAAUAACUCCCCGAAAGGGGUCCUAAUACCGGAUAAUGUCUUCGGACCAAAGAUUUAUCGCCAUUGGAUGGGCCCGCGUUGGAUUAGCUGGUUGGUAGGGUAAAAGCCUACCAUGGCGACGAUCCAUAGCUGGUCUGGGAGGAUGCCCCGCCGCACUGGGACUGAGACACGGCCCAGACUGCUACGGGAGGCAGCAGAGGGGAGUAUUAGACGAUGGGCGAAAACGUGGUACAGCAGUGCCGCGUGUGUGAUGAAGGCCUUAGGGUUGUAAAGCUCUUUUACCCGGGAUGAUAAUGACAGUACCGGGAGAAUAAGCUCCGGCUAACUCCGUG
rnacentral:rRNA from 1 species